CCUACGGGAGGCAGCAGUAAGGAAUAUUGGACAAUGCUCGCAAGAGUGAUCCAGCCAUGCCGCGUGCAGGAAGAAUGCCCUAUGGGUAGUAAACUGCUUUUGAACUAGAGAAAACCCCAGUACGUGUACUGGGCUGAUAGUAUAGUUAGAAUAAGCAUCGGCUAACUUCGUGCCAGCAGCCGCGGUAAGACGAAGGAUGCAAGCGUUAUCCGGAUUCAUUGGGUUUAAAGGGAGCGUAGGUGGACUGAUAAGUCAGUGGUGAAAUCUCCGAGCUUAACUCGGAAAUUGCCAUUGAUACUGUUGGUCUUGAGUACAGUUGCUGUGGGCGGAAUAUGACAUGUAGUGGUGAAAUACAUAGAGAUGUCAUAGAACACCGAUUGCGAAGGCAGCUCACAAAGCUGUAACUGACACUGAGGCUCGAAAGUGCGGGGAUCAAACAGGAUUAGAUACCCUGGUAGUCCGNACCGUAAACGAUNAUAUCNCUGNGNGGGCGACGUUAGUGUGU
rnacentral:rRNA from 1 species